rnacentral:rRNA from 1 species
GCGGACGGCUCAGUAACACGUAGUCAACCUAACUCGUGGACGUGGAUAACCUCGGGAAACUGAGAAUAAACCACGAUAGAUCAUAGUGCCUGGAAUGGCUUAUGGUCCAAACAGUUUACUGCCAUGGGAUGGGACUGCGGCCUAUCAGCUUGUUGGUGAGGUAAUGGCCCACCAAGGCGAUUACAGGUACGGGCUCUGAGAGGAGAAGCCCGGAGAUGGGUACUGAGACACGGACCCAGGCCCUAUGGGGCGCAGCAGGCGAGAAACCUUAGCAAUGUGCGAAAGCACGACUGGGUCAGUCCGAGUGAUUCCUGAUAAAGGAGUCUUUUGCUUGUCCUAAAAGCACAGGUGAAUAAGGGGUGGGCAAGUCUGGUGUCAGCCGCCGCGGUAAUACCAGCACCUCGAGUGGUCAGGACGUUUAUUGGGCCUAAAGCAUCCGUAGCCGGCUUUGCAAGUCUUCGGUUAAAUCCACCUGCUCAACAGAUGGGCCGCUGGAGAUACUACAGAGCUAGGGAGUGGGAGAGGCAGACGGUAUUCAGUGGGUAGGGGUAAAAUCCUCUGAUCUAUUGAUGACCACCUGUGGCGAAGGCGGUCUACCAGAACACGUUCGACGGUGAGGGAUGAAAGCUGGGGGAGCAAACCGGAUUAGAUACCCGGGUAGUCCCAGCUGUAAACGAUGCAAACUCGGUGAUGCAUUGGCUUAUGGCCA